rnacentral:rRNA from 1 species
UACGGGGGGGGCAAGCGUUGUUCGGAAUUACUGGGCGUAAAGGGCGCGUAGGCGGCCUGCUAAGUCGGACGUGAAAUCCCGGAGCUCAACUCCGGAACUGCCCUUGAAACUGCAGUGCUAGAAUCUUGGAGAGGCGAGUGGAAUUCCGAGUGUAGAGGUGAAAUUCGUAGAUAUUCGGAAGAACACCAGUGGCGAAGGCGACUCGCUGGACAAGUAUUGACGCUGAGGUGCGAAAGCGUGGGGAGCGAACAGG